UUGAUCCUGGCUCAGAAUCAACGCUGGCGGCGUGCCUAACACAUGCAAGUCGAACGAGAAAGUGGAGCAAUCCAUGAGUAAAGUGGCGACCGGGUGAGUUACACGUGACUAACCUACCCUUGAAUGGGGAAUAACCUUCCGAAAGGAGGUCUAAUACCGCAUAAAGUCCUAAGGAUGAAACGCCUAAGGACCAAAGGAGUAAUUCGUUUAAGGAGGGGGUCGCGGUUGAUUAGCUAGUUGGUGGGGUAAUGGCCCACCAAGGCGAUGAUCAAUAGCCGGCCUGAGAGGGCGCACGGCCAUACUGGAACUGAAACACGGUCCAGACUCCUACGGGAGGCAGCAGUGGGGAUUUUUGCGCAAUGGGGGAAACCCUGACGCAGCAACGCCGCGUGGAGGAUGUAGGUCUUUGGAUUGUAAACUCCUUUCGAUCGGGAAGAUAAUGACGGUACUGGAAGAAGAAGCCCCGGCUAACUUCGUGCCAGCAGCCGCU
rnacentral:rRNA from 1 species